rnacentral:lncRNA from 1 species
AGAGAAGUUGCUGGUCUUCAUAUAUAGAUGAAGUUUUCAGCCCAAGAGUUCAUCACAUCAAGGCAAAUUUAUAACUGGACUAAACUUCCCACCUUUUACUCCCCACCCUCCUCAAAAAAAAAAAAAAUCAGAAAAACCAGAUUAAUUUUAUAUUUGGUCAAUAUAAACAUUCUGAUUCAAAUAUCACAUCAACAAUAUUUUUUCUCAGACCCACAAAUCAAGAAAUUACUGAUUUAUCCCAUUUAUGGCUCACAAAGAACAAGAACUCCACAGAUUUAUGAGGUGACUAGAGAGUCAAUGUUCUCCUCCAUUCCCCAACCCUGUCCAGCUGUGAAAUUAGAGGACCAUUGGACAGAGAGUUUUCUUUCUCAGUUAUUUUCUUUUGGUCUUUAUUGUGUAUGUAGAAAGCGAAAGCCUUUAGCAAAAUCAGUCCCACGUUCAUCAAAAUAUGUUUACCAAUGCUUUUGUAAUUUCAAAGAACAGAAAACAAAAUAAAUGGUGUUUGUUUAGGGUUUUAUAUUAGAGAAUAGGUGAAAUAAAUUGGAGUAUAUGAAUAUGGAGGGGUAUUACUGUGCUGUAAGAAAAGAUAAUUAUGCUUAGUGAUGUGAAUCAUGGGUAAAUUUUUAUGAACUGAUGCAAAAUGAAAUAAACGGUACCAGGGAAAUAAUAUAUACAAUAAUGACAGCAAAGCCAAUGAAAAAUAUAAAGCAAUUGAAGCUGAUAACUGGAAAAUUAUAAUAACUAUAUCCCCAAAAGGAAAAAAAAAUAUGAGAAGUCCAAUUAGCUCAACUCUUUGCUGAAAUGGGGAUAUAUAGAUAGGUUAUGGGAAACUGAAUGUCAUAUCAUGACUUUUUCAAUGUCUUGGUUAUUAUUACUCAAUUAUUCUUUUCUCUUUCUAAUUGCUAUAAAAGAUGGUUCUCAUAGUGUCAGAGUGUGUGCAUGUAUAUAUGUAUGUAUGUGAAAUGUAGGUUAUAGGGGAAAAGAUAUUAAUAUAAAAUUUAAGUAUAGUAGUAUUUAGAACAGGAGCUUGUUGUAUGUUUUUAUUUUCUUCUUAUUAGCUAUCACAGUGUCUUAUACAUAGUAGAUGCAUUGAUACAUGUUGAUUAAUUGUUAUUGAUAUUAAUGUUUGAUACAAAAAUUUACACUACCUGGUCCUGCUGCUGGUUUUGUUGUUGUUGUUGUUUGUUUUUUUGGUGGUUGUUUUUUUGUUCCAUUUGUGACUUGGAGUAAUUAUAUCUAUUGACAUUUAUUAACAAUUUUGAAACUUCUUUAUCAAUCUAACCCAUGUCAAUUUUGAUAUGUUUGGAGUAAUACUUCAGCAAAAAGUCCUACAAAAAUCACCACAUUUAACUUUGUUGAUAAAGAGCUGUCAGGAAAAUAUUAUAUUAAAAUUUUGAAGAUAGUAAGCUAUGUACCACAUUGCAUUAAUUACCAAGAAAAUAAAAGUAGAAGGAUAGCUAACUUCAAUUAUUUAAGGUCUUUCUUUUGGAAGAAAUAUUAGUGUUAGUCAGUUGGAUCCCAGCACUUGAAAGAGUGGCUAUAAGAUUCAGGGAGAUGAAUUUAGGCUUCAUAAGCAGCAAAAAACGAAAGAAGAAUGAGUGAACAAAGAAAUCAUAAAAAUGAGAUAU